rnacentral:lncRNA from 1 species
CAAGGAUGGAGCCCAGGGUGUGGACUCAACAUCAAGGACUCGUGUCCUGGAGGCGGGGUGAGUGGGGGAUCCAGAACCUGGCCCUGGUGUGACAAAGACUUUGGAGAAGAGGAUGACAUGUCAGGAGGGAGGGGCAGCGUCCUCAACGUUGUGCUGUGUCAUUAGUGGUGGGCAUUGCAAGUGGACAGUGAUCAUUUCCUCAAAAUUCGCAUGUUCCACUUAGCUGGAAACUUGAUUUUGAAGCUUUGUGACGGGGAAUGGGUGCUUGCCUGGGAUGUGGUGGCCUCACUACGGGGCAUCUCGGCUGGGUUGCUUGUUCCCAGCAUACCUUGUUCACACAAUAUGAUCAUAAGCUGCGGAUGUCCUGUUUCUUUGUCAAGAAGGAGGAGGAGAUAACUUCAGAGUCACGAAAGUAUUUUUGUAGGAGUGAAUGUCGUCAAGGACGUAGAGACCAGCCUCUGUUGCCCACAAAUCUGAUUGCUUAAGGUGUUACCUGAGACUGAAGAAACACAGACUUUUCCCCUGAAAUGCCACCUCCCUCACUCCUUAGCCAAAUAAAAACUCCCUGCUUCAUCCUUUUGCUAACAUGGAGUUGAGGGAUUUUCUCUCCUGCCUUCUUACUUUGGCCAAAUCAAAUAAACCUUUGUCUAUCUUUAAGUACUUAUGUCUCAGUGCUGGGUCUCAGCUGCAUAUCGGGCACAUGAACCUGAAUCUGGGGUUCUACAAAGAGUGUCACAUGCCAC